ACACUCCUGCGGGAGGCAGCAGUGGGGAAUUUUGGACAAUGGGCGAAAGCCUGAUCCAGCAAUGCCGCGUGUGUGAAGAAGGCCUUCGGGUUGUAAAGCACUUUUGUCCGGAAAGAAAUCCUUGGCUCUAAUACAGUCGGGGGAUGACGGUACCGGAAGAAUAAGCACCGGCUAACUACGUGCCAGCAGCCGCGGUAAUACGUAGGGUGCGAGCGUUAAUCGGAAUUACUGGGCGUAAAGCGUGCGCAGGCGGUUUGCUAAGACCGAUGUGAAAUCCCCGGGCUCAACCUGGGAACUGCAUUGGUGACUGGCAGGCUAGAGUAUGGCAGAGGGGGGUAGAAUUCCACGUGUAGCAGUGAAAUGCGUAGAGAUGUGGAGGAAUACCGAUGGCGAAGGCAGCCCCCUGGGCCAAUACUGACGCUCAUGCACGAAAGCGUGGGGAGCAAACAGGAUUAGAAACCCCGGUAGUCCCAUGA
rnacentral:rRNA from 1 species